rnacentral:rRNA from 12 species
AUAACGACUCUCGGCAACGGAUAUCUCGGCUCUCGCAUCGAUGAAGAACGUAGCGAAAUGCGAUACUUGGUGUGAAUUGCAGAAUCCCGUGAACCAUCGAGUCUUUGAACGCAAGUUGCGCCCGAAGCCAUCAGGUUGAGGGCACGUCUGCCUGGGCGUCACGC